rfam:Octopus bimaculoides Scaffold13328_contig_120, whole genome shotgun sequence.
UACCAUGUGGUUUAGUGGUUAGGAUUCCUGGCUUUCACCCAGGUGGCCCAGGUUCGAAUCCCAGCAUAGGAA